GAAAUGUUUAACCUCCACUGAGUCAAAGACAAAAGCUUGAUCUAAUCCUGCUGUGAAGGGCGGGACGCUCGGCCGGGACGCUCGGCCGGGACGCUAGAGCUGGAGCUCAGUCGCUCCUGACACUGUUGAGGAACAAACCGUGGUUUGACGCUCUGCUCAUCUGGACGCUGACGGAACAGAAGCAGAUCUUCUCUGGUGAGCAUCUGCUGCUUUAUUACUGUGAUCAUCUGAGUUCAUGUGAGGUUUCUCUGUUGU
rnacentral:lncRNA from 1 species